rnacentral:rRNA from 1 species
CCUACGGGAGGCUGCAGUGGGGAAUAUUGCACAAUGGGCGCAAGCCUGAUGCAGCCAUGCCGCGUGUGUGAAGAAGGCCUUCGGGUUGUAAAGCACUUUCAGCGGGGAGGAAGGCGUUAAGGUUAAUAACCUUGGCGAUUGACGUUACCCGCAGAAGAAGCACCGGCUAACUCCGUGCCAGCAGCCGCGGUAAUACGGAGGGUGCAAGCGUUAAUCGGAAUUACUGGGCGUAAAGCGCACGCAGGCGGUCUGUCAAGUCGGAUGUGAAAUCCCCGGGCUCAACCUGGGAACUGCAUUCGAAACUGGCAGGCUAGAGUCUUGUAGAGGGGGGUAGAAUUCCAGGUGUAGCGGUGAAAUGCCUAGAGAUCUGGAGGAAUACCGGUGGCGAAGGCGGCCCCCUGGACAAAGACUGACGCUCAGGUGCGAAAGCGUGGGGAGCAAACAGGAUUAGAUACCCCAGUAGUC